rnacentral:tRNA from 1 species
GCCUGGGUGGUUCAGUCGGUUAAACAUCUGACUUUGGCUCAGAUCAUGACGUCAUGGCUUGUGAGUUCGAGCUCCUCUUCGGGCU